rnacentral:lncRNA from 1 species
AUGCUUUAUUCUAUUGUUCUGCUUCUCUUAAAUAGUAUUUUUUUUUCGGUGGGAAGGGACAUGGUUAGAGAGAUACAAAAAUUAAGUAUCAGAGCUUCCCUGACUAGUUUCAUGUUUUCAUCCGGGUGGUGGGAUGCAAGCCCGGGGCAAUCAGCAGGACCUGCUGGCAACAGGCCCAAUAGCAAUAAAGAACACAAGCGACGAGCUGUCAGUCUGGCAUGUUUUGGGCACCUUGGAGCAGAUGUAGCACGCUCAGCUGUUAAUGACACAGUUGUCAGCUGAAGGACACCACAUGCAAGGCACUGUUGACAUGCAAUCAAUUGGCUCUGGGGCAGGUUUGUUCACUGCUUUGCUUUUCCCUGACAUUUUUUCACACAGAAAGUGUCCAAGGUCUCACAUUCUAUUCAGUCUAUAAAAUAAUCUUUCUGUGAGACAAAACACCCCAAUAGAGUACGUGGUCUUCUCACUUCAGCCAUUGCUUGGGAGAUCCUGGGUGUGACAUCCAGUUCAUCCUGAAAUUUCAGAGUGGAGCAUCCCCCUUAUUUCUGAACAUUGGAAAUGGGUUUGCUAACUGGGGAAAAACAAAAGUCUAUCACCAUGGGGAAUAUUUUAAGAAAUCAGAAAAGCGACAUUCUCUAUGACAAAUGACGCUUAGCAAUGAUAAAAUAAUGUUUAGUAAUGGCAGAGGUUACUUGCUGCUGGUGUUGCAGAAGUCUGGAAUGUCAAAGGACUAGAAAAGCUUGAUCUGUGUUUUCAGCUUCACAAAGGAAAAAAGAAGAAAAAGUAAAACAUGUGAUUCAUUACUUAAAAUAAGAUAG